rnacentral:rRNA from 1 species
UACGUAGGGUGCAAGCGUUGUCCGGAAUUAUUGGGCGUAAAGAGCUCGUAGGCGGUUUGUCGCGUCUGCUGUGAAAACUCAGGGCUUAACCCUGAGCCUGCAGUGGGUACGGGCAGACUAGAGUGUGGUAGGGGAGAUCGGAAUUCCUGGUGUAGCGGUGGAAUGCGCAGAUAUCAGGAGGGACACCGGUGGCGAAGGCGGAUCUCUGGGCCAUAACUGACGCUGAGGAGCGAAAGCAUGGGGAGCGAACAGG